rnacentral:rRNA from 1 species
UGAGCAAUCUGCCCUUCACAUCGGAAUAACCAUUGGAAACGAUGGCUAAUACCGAAUAUGACUUCGGAUCGCAUGAUCUGAAGUGGAAAGCUCCGGCGGUGAAGGAUGAGCUCGCGGCCUAUCAGCUAGUUGGUGUGGGUAAUGGCCCACAAGGCGACGACGGGUAGCCGGCUGAGAGGGUGACCCGGCCACACUGGGACUGAGACACGGCCCAGAUCCCGUAACGGG